rnacentral:rRNA from 1 species
GUUAAGCGACUAAGCGUACACGGUGGAUGCCCUGGCAGUCAGAGGCGAUGAAGGACGUGCUAAUCUGCGAUAAGCGUCGGUAAGGUGAUAUGAACCGUUAUAACCGGCGAUUUCCGAAUGGGGAAACCCAGUGUGUUUCGACACACUAUCAUUAACUGAAUCCAUAGGUUAAUGAGGCGAACCGGGGGAACUGAAACAUCUAAGUACCCCGAGGAAAAGAAAUCAACCGAGAUUCCCCCAGUAGCGGCGAGCGAACGGGGAGCAGCCCAGAGCCUGAAUCAGUGUGUGUGUUAGUGGAAGCGUCUGGAAAGGCGCGCGAUACAGGGUGACAGCCCCGUACACAAAAAUGCACAUGCUGUGAGCUCGAUGAGUAGGGCGGGACACGUGGUAUCCUGUCUGAAUAUGGGGGGACCAUCCUCCAAGGCUAAAUACUCCUGACUGACCGAUAGUGAACCAGUACCGUGAGGGAAAGGCGAAAAGAACCCCGGCGAGGGGAGUGAAAAAGAACCUGAAACCGUGUACGUACAAGCAGUGGGAGCACGCUUAGGCGUGUGACUGCGUACCUUUUGUAUAAUGGGUCAGCGACUUAUAUUCUGUAGCAAGGUUAACCGAAUAGGGGAGCCGAAGGGAAACCGAGUCUUAACUGGGCGUUAAGUUGCAGGGUAUAGACCCGAAACCCGGUGAUCUAGCCAUGGGCAGGUUGAAGGUUGGGUAACACUAACUGGAGGACCGAACCGACUAAUGUUGAAAAAUUAGCGGAUGACUUGUGGCUGGGGGUGAAAGGCCAAUCAAACCGGGAGAUAGCUGGUUCUCCCCGAAAGCUAUUUAGGUAGCGCCUCGUGAAUUCAUCUCCGGGGGUAGAGCACUGUUUCGGCAAGGGGGUCAUCCCGACUUACCAACCCGAUGCAAACUGCGAAUACCGGAGAAUGUUAUCACGGGAGACACACGGCGGGUGCUAACGUCCGUCGUGAAGAGGGAAACAACCCAGACCGCCAGCUAAGGUCCCAAAGUCAUGGUUAAGUGGGAAACGAUGUGGGAAGGCCCAGACAGCCAGGAUGUUGGCUUAGAAGCAGCCAUCAUUUAAAGAAAGCGUAAUAGCUCACUGGUCGAGUCGGCCUGCGCGGAAGAUGUAACGGGGCUAAACCAUGCACCGAAGCUGCGGCAGCGACGCUGAUGCGUUGUUGGGUAGGGGAGCGUUCUGUAAGCCUGUGAAGGUGUGCUGUGAGGCAUGCUGGAGGUAUCAGAAGUGCGAAUGCUGACAUAAGUAACGAUAAAGCGGGUGAAAAGCCCGCUCGCCGGAAGACCAAGGGUUCCUGUCCAACGUUAAUCGGGGCAGGGUGAGUCGACCCCUAAGGCGAGGCCGAAAGGCGUAGUCGAUGGGAAACAGGUUAAUAUUCCUGUACUUGGUGUUACUGCGAAGGGGGGACGGAGAAGGCUAUGUUGGCCGGGCGACGGUUGUCCCGGUUUAAGCGUGUAGGCUGGUUUUCCAGGCAAAUCCGGAAAAUCAAGGCUGAGGCGUGAUGACGAGGCACUACGGUGCUGAAGCAACAAAUGCCCUGCUUCCAGGAAAAGCCUCUAAGCAUCAGGUAACAUCAAAUCGUACCCCAAACCGACACAGGUGGUCAGGUAGAGAAUACCAAGGCGCUUGAGAGAACUCGGGUGAAGGAACUAGGCAAAAUGGUGCCGUAACUUCGGGAGAAGGCACGCUGAUAUGUAGGUGAAGUCCCUCGCGGAUGGAGCUGAAAUCAGUCGAAGAUACCAGCUGGCUGCAACUGUUUAUUAAAAACACAGCACUGUGCAAACACGAAAGUGGACGUAUACGGUGUGACGCCUGCCCGGUGCCGGAAGGUUAAUUGAUGGGGUUAGCCGCAAGGCGAAGCUCUUGAUCGAAGCCCCGGUAAACGGCGGCCGUAACUAUAACGGUCCUAAGGUAGCGAAAUUCCUUGUCGGGUAAGUUCCGACCUGCACGAAUGGCGUAAUGAUGGCCAGGCUGUCUCCACCCGAGACUCAGUGAAAUUGAACUCGCUGUGAAGAUGCAGUGUACCCGCGGCAAGACGGAAAGACCCCGUGAACCUUUACUAUAGCUUGACACUGAACAUUGAGCCUUGAUGUGUAGGAUAGGUGGGAGGCUUUGAAGUGUGGACGCCAGUCUGCAUGGAGCCGACCUUGAAAUACCACCCUUUAAUGUUUGAUGUUCUAACGUUGACCCGUAAUCCGGGUUGCGGACAGUGUCUGGUGGGUAGUUUGACUGGGGCGGUCUCCUCCUAAAGAGUAACGGAGGAGCACGAAGGUUGGCUAAUCCUGGUCGGACAUCAGGAGGUUAGUGCAAUGGCAUAAGCCAGCUUGACUGCGAGCGUGACGGCGCGAGCAGGUGCGAAAGCAGGUCAUAGUGAUCCGGUGGUUCUGAAUGGAAGGGCCAUCGCUCAACGGAUAAAAGGUACUCCGGGGAUAACAGGCUGAUACCGCCCAAGAGUUCAUAUCGACGGCGGUGUUUGGCACCUCGAUGUCGGCUCAUCACAUCCUGGGGCUGAAGUAGGUCCCAAGGGUAUGGCUGUUCGCCAUUUAAAGUGGUACGCGAGCUGGGUUUAGAACGUCGUGAGACAGUUCGGUCCCUAUCUGCCGUGGGCGCUGGAGAACUGAGGGGGGCUGCUCCUAGUACGAGAGGACCGGAGUGGACGCAUCACUGGUGUUCGGGUUGUCAUGCCAAUGGCACUGCCCGGUAGCUAAAUGCGGAAGAGAUAAGUGCUGAAAGCAUCUAAGCACGAAACUUGCCCCGAGAUGAGUUCUCCCUGACUCCUUGAGAGUCCUGAAGGAACGUUGAAGACGACGACGUUGAUAGGCCGGGUGUGUAAGCGCAGCGAUGCGUUGAGCUAACCGGUACUAAUGAACCGUGAGGCUUA